CCAUGCUAGGUGGGGAGCUAGCGGUGCCCUGUAACUCACAAUCCGCUACAGUGAGGCUGAACUCCGGAGAGUGAGGUUUAGCGGUGAUAGGGUUUAGCUGGAUUGAAAGUGGCGUUGAAAACCGGGUCUUGUGCGGCAGAGGUUUAUGAACCCCGUCAGGUCUGAAAGGAAGCAGCGGUAAGUAAAAUUCUCUGGGUGCCACAAGGCAGCCUGGUUGGAGCUAACUGCAUUUCGUGCACCUGUUGUCAUAAACCGAAGUCCGGUGCAUGG
rnacentral:SRP_RNA from 1 species